rnacentral:tRNA from 1 species
GGGUAUAGCGCGGUCUGGUAGACCCUUUGCUUUGGGAGCAGGAGGUCGGGAGUUCAAAUCUCUCUACCC